GAAAGGGUUUAGGAAGUAGGCAGAAUGAAGCAAAAGGCAAGAAGUGUCUAUUGCAAAGCAAAGAGUCUCCCCCUUCAGCGCCACUUGACAAACCUCAGCCCUGGACAAUGCGAGAUUUUUUCGACCGAGGAUCACUGUGCUUCUUCCGGAUCCACCAGAAAGUGCCGAUACACAGCUUCCACCAUCCAUGCUUCCAGAUUGAAAAGUCUCCCUCCUUAUCUGUGACCACACUGCUCCUCUCUGGGCUCUGCCCCAGCUCACACACUCAGAUGCAAUCUUCCC